rnacentral:rRNA from 1 species
UACGUAGGCAGCGAGCGUUGUUCGGAAUUACUGGGCGUAAAGGGCGCGCAGGCGGCUCUGUAAGUCAGAUGUGAAAUCCCCGGGCUUAACCUGGGAACUGCAUUUGAUACUCUGGAGCUUGAGUGUGGGAGAGGAGAGUGGAAUUCCCAGUGUAGAGGUGAAAUUCGUAGAUAUUGGGAAGAACACCGGUGGCGAAGGCGGCUCUCUGGACCACAACUGACGCUGAGGAGCGAAAGCGUGGGGAGCGAACAGG